CACAAGAAGACCGCCAAUUUUCCCUCCAUUUUCCAUUCGGAAGGACCACACCUGACUGCCAGCGUAGCUCCUCUGUCGUGAGCUUCACCUGGCUUGUAUACUGGCCAUUCCUAGCCUACUGUGUUCCUGACAGGCUGUUUUGCUAUCUGAUGUUGGUGUGAUGGGGAACAGAACCUUACUCACAAUACUCCAUAUUGAUGAGAUACACGCUGAAUUCCAGCGCAUAACAACUAUCCCACUUGAAACAGCCUUCAUGGCGCAGUUGGACAGCCAUCUACCUCAGCUGACAUCUGUCUUCCAGAAGAAGGGAGGAGUUGUUGGCCAGAAACUAGCCAAACAUCUGGCGAUCUUGCAAAAGGUAAAUGUGUGUAUACUGUUUUAUACAAAUUGUCAUAUACUCUAUGGAGCAAUUUUAUGAAAUGUACCUGUCUAGUACCGUAUAGAGCCCCAUUUGCCUCACAACAGCCUGGAUUACUUGCCAGGUUCAAGAAUGCAAGACACAUUUCUAAGGAAAUCUGAUCUUAAUAAGGCAAUAGUGGCAUACUGGGUAGAGAAGCAGGCUUGUGACUGGAAAGGUGCAAAUGCAAUCCCCAGGUGGGGAAAGUGAAAAAGCAGAACCUGCCUUGAGCAAGUCACUUAAUCCUCAGUUGCCAACAGAUCAGACUGUGGUUGUACUAGGCAGAUUCCAGGUGUGAACUGUGAAGAACGGAGCAUUGGUCUUGGUGAAAAGCCCCUGGAUGAGUAGAAUUUGUAAACAGUGCUAUCGCCCUAACACAUUCAGACCUCUGACAUUGUAAUACAUUUACAGUAAGUCACAAUUCUUUAACAUACUUAAGUUAGGGCAUGCCAUUUACAUGUAUAAUGAAGUCAUUGUAUAUAUUAUAUUGUAUAUUUAGGU